AGAACGAACGCUGGCGGCAGGCUUAACACAUGCAAGUCGAACGCUCGUAGCAAUACGGGAGUGGCAGACGGGUGAGUAACGCGUGGGAACAUACCCUCCGGUUCGGAAUAGCUCAGGGAAACUUGGAUUAAUACCGGAUACGGCUGAGAGGCGAAAGAUUUAUCGCCGGAGGAUUGGCCCGCGUUCGAUUAGCUUGUUGGUGAGGUAACGGCUCACCAAGGCGAUGAUCGAUAGCUGGUCUGAGAGGAUGAUCAGCCACAUUGGGACUGAGACACGGCCCAAACUCCUACGGGAGGCAGCAGUGGGGAAUAUUGGACAAUGGGCGCAAGCCUGAUCCAGCCAUGCCGCGUGAGUGAUGACGGCCUUAGGGUUGUAAAGCUCUUUCGCCCGCGACGAUGAUGACGGUAGCGGGAGAAGAACGCCCCGGCUAACUUCGUGCCAGCAGCCGC
rnacentral:rRNA from 1 species